GUAGGUGAACCUGCGGAGGGAUCAUUAACACGUUUUCAAUAACGUAUACAAACCCAAACACCGUGAACUAGAAACAACUCCCUUCACAGAAGACGAAUGAGAAAGCCAGGGUGGAUUGUAGAACAAGUAAAAUCAUCUUCGGAUGACGUAGCCUCUACAUUGCUUAUCAUUCUAGGGUCCUUGAGACUCAAUCUGAUGUGAAGUGUCUUUGCGACCACCUGGCAGACUGUAUUUCAGUCUUCUUCGGGGGAUUGAUCUAAACAGCGUCUGUCGAAUCUGUUUAACAAAACUUUUAACCCCUUUAACAACAUAUUAAUAACUGAACCUUUUUUUUAUUGUCUUUCUCGCUUAAUUGCGAUGAGGCAUAAAAAAGAUAUACGUAAUGCUGAACAACUCUUAGCAAUGGAUAUCUUAGUUCUC
rnacentral:misc_RNA from 1 species